rnacentral:rRNA from 1 species
UCCGGUGACCAUACUGGAGAGGAUACACCCGUUCCCAUCUCGAACACGGAAGUUAAGCUCUCUAAGGCCGAUGGUACUUGGGCUUAUGCCCCGGGAGAGUAGGUAGUUGCCGGAA